rnacentral:rRNA from 1 species
UACAGAGGGGGCAAGCGUUGUUCGGAAUUACUGGGCGUAAAGGGCGCGUAGGCGGCCUUCUAAGUCAGACGUGAAAUCCCUCGGCUCAACCGGGGAACUGCGUCUGAGACUGGAAGGCUUGAAUCCGGGAGAGGGAUGUGGAAUUCCAGGUGUAGCGGUGAAAUGCGUAGAUAUCUGGAGGAACACCGGUGGCGAAGGCGGCAUCCUGGACCAACACUGACGCUGAGGAGCGAAAGCCAGGGGAGCAAACGGG